GUGGGGUAACGGCCUACCAAGGCGUCGACGGGUAGCUGGUCUGAGAGGACGGACAGCCACACUGGGACUGAGACACGGCCCAGACUCCUACGGGAGGCAGCAGUGGGGAAUAUUGCGCUAAUGCGCGAAAGCGUGACGCAGCGACGCCGCGUGGGGGAUGAAGGCCCUCGGGUCGUAAACCCCUUUCGCCAGGGACGAAGGGAAAUUGACGGUACCUGGAGAAGAAGUCCCGGCUAACUACGUGCCAGCAGCCGCGGUAACACGUAGGGGACGAGCGUUGUCCGGAAUUAUUGGGCGUAAAGCGCGCGUAGGCGGUCGUGCAAGUCGGAUGUGAAAAUCCCGGGCUCAACCCGGGACCUGCACCCGAUACUGCUCGACUCGAGGUAGGUAGGGGAGAUCGGAAUUCCUGGUGUAGCGGUGAAAUGCGCAGAUAUCAGGGGGAACACCGGUGGCGAAGGCGGAUCUCUGGGCCUUACCUGACGCUGAGGCGCGAAAGCUAGGGGAGCGAACAGGAUUAGAUACCCUGGUAGUCCUAGCCGUAAACGUUGGGUGCUAGGUGUGGAUGGACAUCGACCCCAUCCGUGCCGAAGCUAACGCAUUAAGCA
rnacentral:rRNA from 1 species